rnacentral:tRNA from 1 species
GCGGGUAUGGCGGAAUGGUAGACGCGCAACGUUGAGGUCGUUGUCGACGCAAGUCGGUGGAAGUUCAACUCUUCUUACCCGCACCA